CUGAGCCUUGAAAUUGCGCAGAGAACCUUGAGUUCUAUUCCAGUGAAACAAAGUUGCAAGGAGGCAAGCAAAGGCUUUCCAUCCGCAUCCCCCACCCCCAAAGUCCAGCUCUGUGCACUUUUUAAAUCUUUAGUUCUUUUGUUUGCGAUGUCUACAUUCUUCGCGGCACUGUGGAUUUCUGAAGACACUGCCAGCCACAUUGAAAUAUUCUUCCUGUCAGAAAUGAAGCGUUGAAUUAGCAUAUGGUGAAGGAAGUUGCCUGUCCAGGAAGGAACCUACAGUGCUAUUCUAACGGGUAGAGCUUCAGGAGCCGGAGAAGUGACUCUGGCAGGGCUCUGGCUGCUUCCUGCCUGUAGUCUGUCAGCUUAUUUUCCUGGUUUUCUCUUCUGACGUCCGGAAUCUCAUCGAUGGGUUAUCACUUACCCCUUCCUUCAUCCUCCCAAAGCAGGGGGACGCUUCAGUCAGCCUUCUUCCUUAGAUGAAUGUAUUCAUACAUAACUGUUGGUGGAAUGAAUACAUUCCUUUUCGGUUUCCUCUGUCACUUCUCACUAGCUUGGUGGCUUAUUUACUUAGUGGUUGGUUACCUUAUCUCUCUGAAGGCUAUGGAUGAGUCAGCGAAUGAGGCCAGGGGAGGACUCUGUGGCGUGCAACCUGAUAUGAGGUGCCAUCUGGUACCUUCUUUCUCAACCUCCCAUCUCCCAAACCUCCUCUACCGGCCCACCCCUUGACAGGAUGCUGCCUGACUUUGUUUCCUAGGCAAAACCCCGGGAAAAUGCUCUUUGUCCUUAAUGAUCCUUCAGCUGUUUUUUCAGGAUCUGUAGUAGACACCUCAUUUUUUUUUUUGUCCAGAACCCCCUUCUCAAUUCUUUGGGAAUGUCGCCCCAGUUCCUCUGCUAUUUUUCUUUGGAGGAACACCCCUCCCCUUGGAAGCUGUCUUGUUGAGAGUCUGGCAGGGUAGGUGUUGUGUGUUGUGGCCAAGAAGUGAGCCUGUGACCCAAGCUGAGCUCGUCAGUCUGUCUCUGGGGAAUCGGAAUGUGAGCGACACAGCCUAAGAGCUGGGAAGCGGUCGGGCAGCUACUUUGGGACAGUGGUGACUGUCUAUCACCCCUGCUUCUGGGAUCUGUGGCACUUCCUUUGUUCCCGUCCUUUUCAAGGCCCUGUGGUUCAGCCUUGCCUUUGAUGCCGCAGCAUCUGCUUCCAAUAAAUUAGCUUUUUCUGACGCAAGCCAGACUCCGUUGCUGUUGCUUAUGAUCAAAGAACCCCGAAGAGGCCACCCUCUGCUCCCUUUUCUCUGUCUCUUGUAGCUCCCCCCACUGCUUACAGCUCUGGGGGCUUCACGUUUCUGUGAGAGCAAAACCCAGCUCCCAGAGUGGCCUGCAGGCCAAGCCCACACCGCUCUGGGGGCCUCUCUGCCUGCCUUCUUGGGGAGCACUCUCUCUUGGGCCCCCCUCACCUUCUCUCCUUCUUUGACCGUUCUGUGCACUCCUGCGUGGGGAUCUCCCAAGCUGCCUUCUGCCUGCGGGGCUCUUGGAAUUGGCUUUUUGAGAGCCCUUACCAACCCUUGCCUGGUAGGGGCUCUCAACAUACGUGAUACUUUCUCAUCAUAACAUGCAUUGUGUCAUCAUAUAUUUUAUCAUUGUUUAUCUCCUUCGCUAGACCAUAAGCUCCAUGAGGACAGGAACUAUACAUUUGUCCCUGACUGUAUUUUAGUGUCUAACGUGGCACUUGCUAGGCUAUAAGAGUCCAAAACAUUUUUGUGGAAUGAAUACAUAAAAAAACAUGCAAUCUGACCUUGCCAGACCACCCGAGGUAUGAAUUUGCUUCCAGUCUCCCACUUGUCAGGAUUUCUUGGCUUCAUCUGUUCUCUUUAGGGCUCUGGUCUGCACUGGGCAGUGAUGGCCGGAGUGGUUUCAUCACACACAUAAACACAGUCUUUGCUAGCAAGCUUUCCCGCAGCUCUCCUUUCUUUGACCUUCUAUCAUACCCCUGCCUAAUGUUCACCUUAUACCACCUGAUUAUAUUCUCCUAGAGAGGCCCAUUUGACGGUAGGAUUAUUAUGUCCUUGAAGGCAUCGAUUAGGAAUGUGAACACGAAUUCUUUUAUGGUUCUGUGCUUGAGUAGCUAAUUCAAUUCAUCCCAUCGAAGCGUAGUUUCCUCAUCUUUAAGAUGGGGAUAAUAAUAUCUGUCCUACUAUAUAAUGCCCGGUGGUGGUGAGAACAUGAAGAGAUAAUGUCAAAGCACUUAGAACAAUUGCUAAAUGGAUACAAAAUGUGAGAAAUGUUUAUCAUUGCCUUGUAUCUUUCUGAUAUACGUGAUAAUAUUUAGUCUUUUCUAGGCACUCUUCAGAUACUAGAAUGCCUUCAUCUGCCUGCCCUUACUUCACCUAGUAAGCGAAAUGAGAUAUACUACUGUUUCCCGCUGAAUACCCACUGAGAGCAGCACACGCAGAGCUAAGGGCUUCAUUUACUGUGUACAAGAAUGUGAGGUGGACAUUAGUUUCCCUCAUUUGACUGAGGAGAAAACAAAAGCUUGGAGAGCUUUAGCCACUUACUCAAGGUCACACAGCUUAUAAAUUGGGGAGCUGAGCCCAUGGACUCCAAAGCUAGUGCCCUUCCCCAGGACCUAUAGGGCCUCUCCCCUGCAAAUCUCUCAGAUGGCUGACCCCGGGUCAUACUCUGCCAAGUGCCCACCGUGACAUACUUUCUGUUCAUUUAAAGUUCACACCGUCAUCAUCAUUUCACAAUUGAGGAAGCGGUGGCUGAGAGAGAGAGAGAGAGAGAGAGAGAGAACUUGGACAUCUGCUUCCGGGUAGGAGAGAGAGUUACAACAGGCCACCACAACUAUUGCAGUAACUGGAAGACAACUGGACGCAUUGUACAAAACAUCUGCGAGAGACAGUGGAGAGCCUUGGAAGCCAUGAGCGGGAACGAUUAAUCUAGCAAAGAACCUUUUGGCCCGCUGAUCCUGCCUCAUUUUCUUCCCCGGGGGCAUCUGCCCGGUCUGAGCACAGGCAUGUACUUGACCUGAGUGGGCUGAGACUCUACUGAAGGAAAGGGAAACCACAGAGGUUGUGGCCAUCUCGAUAGGCUGGCAGGACAGAGAAACCAGAGGGGCCCCAAAGGCAAGGCUGGUUUUGUCUGUGGAGCAUUUGCUGAGCUGUGGGGAAGCUGAUGAGAAGUCUCAAUAACCCUGGAAUCUAGCACUGUCUAAAUCUGGGCCUGCAGCACAGGCCAGUUGUUUCAAGUUUCUUUCCUGGGGCCCAAGGGGAUCAGGGGAUCAUGCCCCCUUCUUCCCUUUGGUAUCUGUAUUCCUCUGCACCAACUGGGCCUACAUUUUCUGUGGCAAGUAGCUUUUCACAGACAUUGUCGCCCCCUGCUGUCAGCGAUUGGUGUUGCAAGGACUUGGAGCCUGCCCUUAGCAUCUUCUGUCUGGACAGUGUUCUCUCAAGAACUGGGGGUUUUAGCCCUGAUGAUCAGUUCCCAAGUCUGAGGAUUUUGUCUCACUGGUCUUCUCCACCCCUGAGUGUUAACUGUCUAGAUUGGUCGACGGCCGUGGCUGUCAGGUCCUCAUCUGUGAAAUAGCAUCAACAGUGCCCAUUUUGCAGGUUGUGCAUUCUUCGAGGAAGGAAAUAAAGUUCUUAGUGUUGUCUAGUAUGCAGUUAGUGAUUGGUAAGUAGUAAUAACAGUAGCAAUCCUUCUCAAAGCUCCUCAAAGGAGGCAGCCCUAGGUGGUAUUUCCAGUGGUGGGGAGAGAUGGCCUGACUCCAGAUGUUCUGGGGACAUUCUAGAUGUUCUCAGCCCUCCUCACCGGAGUGCACCAGGAGCCAGGAGCCUGGUGCCCAACACCAAGGAGGAGGAGAGGAGGAGGAAGGCUGGGCUGGUGAGUGCCAGGCAGCUCCCUGGACGUUAGCAUCUGGUCUGUUAACUGUUUUGUAUUGGUGAUUCUCAGGCCUCAGCCCUGGGAACUGAGGUUGCUCAAACUACCUCUGCCUUUCUGAAGGUUGCACCUGGGUCCUCUCUGACAAGAUGGGACCCCUGGCCUCCUUAGAUGGAGGCAUGCCGAGUUAACUGAUUGAUGGAGAACAGAGGUUAGAUAUUUCAAACUAGCUCUUGCCUGGGUGAACUGCUUUUCUGCCUCACUGUGUGGGCCCCACGCGGUGGGUGCUGGGGAGCCGUGGGUGUGGGUGCAGACGCCUGCCUGGGGGCUUCCUGGGGCCGGGAUCCCAGGGCCUUGGCCGCCUAGCAUCUCGGGGAGCUCAGACCUUCGGGCUCUGUGGCGUCAGCUCUGGAUGGUGCCCGUUUCCUGUUCUCCAGCUUCCCCCAUUGUCAGGUUCCCGUGAUACCAGCACCCCUCGCAGCAGCCGUCUCCUGGAGGCUUCUUUCCUGGCGAUGUAGAAGACUUCCCAUCAUUCUUCAUUUUGAAAGCACACACUGUCCCUUGGGCACUCAGCUGCAUUCCCCCAGAUCUUGGCGCUCUUUCCCCCGGGGCCCGCCCACGAUCUCUCUCCCAGUGUGCUUGGCCUCGUCUCUGGCUUGAGUGGACACAGCUGCGUGCAAGGCCCCUGCCUGGCCUUCUUUCUCUGGGUCCCGAGCAGCCGACCGAGCAGGGACGCAGCCGGCAGCCGCCCGUGGUGACGGGUUGGAGUCUGACGCCUUCCCGGGCAGCCCACAGACCCAGCAGCACCCUACUAACUCUGAGCCACCCUUUCUUUUCUGUCCUCACAGCAUUACGACCCUGUGGCUGGUUAAUUUCUACCUGCUGGCUUGUUGCCACAUACGUAGACUUAGGUAUGGGCCAUGUGACUUGCUUCUGUUCUAGAGUUGCCAGAUAAAAUACGCAGUGUCCGGUUAAAUUUAAAUUUUGAAUAGGCAAGGAAUCUUUUUUUUUUUUUUUUUUUUUUUAGUUUAAGUGUGGCCUAUAUAUUGCAUGGACAUACUUAUACUAAAAAAAGAUCCCCUGUUUAUCUGAAAUUGAAGUUUAACUGGAUGCCUUGUAUUUUUAUUGGCCAAGUCUCGCAACUCUGUUCUUGUCUGCCCCAUCGGGGUCCUCUAGGGGCUUGGGAACUUUCUGGAGGAGGCUCCGUUCCUGACAGCAGGGGCUUCAUCUCAACCUUUAGAUUAAGAGACUUGUCACCCAUGAUGUCUUCCUUAGAUGGGGGGAUUCCCUGGAGGAAGGACUUGUGCCCCUGUCUCCCACUCCCACCCUUGAGAGGCUCCAGGUUAGCCCUGCUAUGUGUGCAGGGUCUCCAGCUAGGGUCUGAGGGCUUGGCUCAUGGUGAGCAAUUUCGGUGUGGGGCUCCCUUUCCUGCAGAGUUACCCAUCGGAGCUAAGCCCACACGCGUUCUGCCUGCUCGAGGGACCACUUUUCCUGACACGGUCGUGGGCUGGUGAGCAGCAGGGAAGCCUGGAGGGGAGAGGCCCCCCAUCACAGGUCUGGUGAUGCCUGCCGGCUGGGAGAUACAGCUCUGAGCUAAGCGAGCAUCCUCUGGGUGCCUCAUGUCAUUUUGUCAGGGCUCACAGCUUCCCUUUACACUCGUCUGUGGCAGCUGGUGUAGGAUAAAUAUCAGGCCCGGUCUUUGUUCUUUGCCUGGUGACCUUUCAAUUUCUUGGCUUGUGCUUCAUUUCAAAAUGUCUUUAUAUGGACGAGAGCAAGUAGCUCGACCAGGAUCUGGCUCUGGUGGCUCUCGGUCCGGUGCACAGCACGAGGCUGUCUCACUGGGGUGCUGGGGACGGGGAGGCCGAGGAGGCUGACCUGAGCGGGGGAGGUUUACCCGAGGCCCAGGCUCUGGCAGCGCUGACUGGUGAUUGCUUCUCUUCUCAGCAGAGAUGACAGAAGGUGUCAAAGCCAAAUAUUCACUGGAGGCAAAGUCUGAACACUUCAAAUAAGAUUUAGUGACUCAUCGGUCGUGGGCAACUCAGGACUCCGAGAAUCCCUGCAGGAAAAAAUGACUCUUAUCCUUAGGUGGGAAGUCGAGGAAGCCUCUGGAAACCUGUGGUGGCAGCCAGAUGGCACCGCCAAUAUUCUGCCUGGAAAUUGCAGAUCAUCAGGCUCGUUAGCCAACGUCUAUUGAGUACCUGCUGUGUGCCUGGCUUUUAUAAGCUCUGGCUAUUCAUAGAUGGAUAAACUCACCAUGAUACCAACUGUCAUGAAGCUUCAUAGUCUGGUGAGAGGCAAGCAUUACAUGAAAUUAGCCAACAUAUAAUUAUGUAAUUAUAAAUUCUGAUCAAUGUGCUGAAGAAAAAGGGUAAGAUGUUAUGAGAGAAUAAUAGGAGGGGCAGGUUUGGGAGCAGGUGAGCAGAAAGGUAUCUCUGGGGGAGGGAUACAUAAACCAAGACCAAGAGGGGAAAGGAGUCAGCCAGGUGAGGAAUGGAAUGGAGAGUAUCUGGGCAGGGGAAGACCAUGUGAGCUGCUGCAAUGGAGAAAAUGAUAAUAAUAAAAACAUGUGGUGCUUACUAUGUGCCAGGCGUUCUUAAAAUUAGUCCUUGGGGCACCUGGGUGGCUCAGUCAGUUG